rnacentral:rRNA from 1 species
UUUGAUCCUGGCUCAGGAUGAACGCUAGCGGCAGGCUUAACACAUGCAAGUCGAGGGGUAUAGUUCUUCGGAGCUAGAGACCGGCGCACGGGUGCGUAACGCGUAUGCAAUCUACCUUUUACAGAGGGAUAGCCCAGAGAAAUUUGGAUUAAUACCUCAUAGUAUAAUGACUUGGCAUCAAGACAUUAUUAAAGUCACAACGGUAAAAGAUGAGCAUGCGUCCCAUUAGCUAGUUGGUAAGGUAACGGCUUACCAAGGCUACGAUGGGUAGGGGUCCUGAGAGGGAGAUCCCCCACACUGGUACUGAGACACGGACCAGACUCCUACGGGAGGCAGCAGUGAGGAAUAUUGGACAAUGGGCGCAAGCCUGAUCCAGCCAUGCCGCGUGCAGGAUGACGGUCCUAUGGAUUGUAAACUGCUUUUAUACGAGAAGAAACACUACUUCGUGAAGUAGCUUGACGGUAUCGUAAGAAUAAGGAUCGGCUAACUCCGUG